rnacentral:rRNA from 1 species
CCUACGGGAGGCAGCAGUGGGGAAUAUUGCACAAUGGGGGAAACCCUGAUGCAGCGACGCCGCGUGAGUGAAGAAGUAAUUCGUUACGUAAAGCCCUAUCAGCAGGGAAGAAACACUGACCUUACGGUCAGCAGCCGGUACUUGCGUAAGAAGCCCCGGCUAACUACGUGCCAGCAGCCGCGGUCAUACGUAGGGGGGAAGCGUUAUCCGGCUUUACUGGUGGUAAAGGGAGCGGAGACGGUGAGCCAAGGCGGGAGUGAAAUUCCGGAGCGUAACAGCGGAACUGCUUUGGAAACUGGCGAACUAGAGUGCGGGAGAGGUAAGCGGAAUUCCUAGUGUAGCGGUGAAAUGCGUAGAUAUUAGGAGGAACACCGGUGGCGAAGGCGGCUUACUGGACCGUAACUGACGUUGAGGCUCGAAAGCGUGGGGAGCAAACAGGAUUAGAUACCCUGGUAGUC